rnacentral:tRNA from 1 species
GAGGGUAUAGCUCAGUGGUAGAGAGCAUGCCUAGCAUGCAUGAGGUCCUGGGUUCAAUCCCUUGUAUCUCCA